CUAGUAAGUUAAAAGUGAAAUACCAAAGCUUAACUUUGGAGCGGCUUUUAAUACUGCUAGCACUAGAGGUCGAAAGAGGAUAGCGGAAUUCCUAGUGUAGAGGUGAAAUUCGUAGAUAUUAGGAGGAACACCAGUUGCGAAGGCGGCUAUC
rnacentral:rRNA from 1 species